AUUGAACGCUGGCGGCAGGCCUAACACAUGCAAGUCGAGCGAGCGGCGGACGGGUGAGUAAUGUAUGGGAAACUGACUGAUGGAGGGGGAUAACUACUGGAAACGGUAGCUAAUACCGCAUACCAUAAGAUGUGACCAGAUGGGAGUAGCUAGUAGGUGGGGUAACGGCUCACCUAGGCGAAGAUCCCUAGCUGGUCUGAGAGGAUGACCAGCCACACUGGAACGGAGACACGGUCCAGAUUCCUACGGGAGGCAGCAGUGGGGAAUAUGGCACAAGGGGCGCAAGCCUGAUGCAGCCAUGCCGCGUGUGUGAAGAAGUCCUUCGGGUUGUAAAGCACGUUCAGCGGGGAGGCGUUACCCGCAGAAGAAGCACCGGCUAACUCCGUGCCAGCAGCCGCGGUAAUUC
rnacentral:rRNA from 1 species